UACGUAGGGUGCGAGCGUUUAAUCGGAAUUACUGGGCGUAAAGCGUGCGUAGGCGGUUCUCCAAGUCCGUUGUGAAAGCCCCGGGCUCAACCUGGGAAUGGCAGUGGAAACUAGGGGACUGGAAUCUGGCAGAGGGGGGUGGAAUGCCGCGUGUAGCAGUGAAACGCGUAGAGAUGCGGCGGAACACCGAUGGCGAAGGCAGCCCCCUGGGCUGAGAUUGACGCUCAGGCACGAAAGCGUGGGGAGCAAACGGGG
rnacentral:rRNA from 1 species